rnacentral:lncRNA from 1 species
AUUUUGACAUACUGUAUAUACAUGGAGUAUAACUUAUUCUAAUUAGGAUCCCAUUCUUGUGGUGUACAAGGAUGUGGAUAUUACUGGUGAUGUUUUCAUACAUGAACAUAAGAAAGUUAGUCUUAACUAUCUUACAGCAUAAAGAUAUAAUUUUUUGUUCUCAUUUCUAAAAGUAUUACUGUUUUUCAUUUCACCUUUAUAUCUACAAUUCACCAUUGACUUUGAGUAUGGUAUGUCAUAAAAGUCAAAAUUAAUUUUUUUCAAGAGUUAUAUAUUCAAUAUUCAUAUGACUAUCAGUCGACACACUAGUAUUUUUUUAAAAUCCUUCAUUGUAAGUGAAAUGACCAUAAAUGUGUAGUUAGCUUCUGGACACUCCAUUUUGUUCUAAUGAUUUUUGUCUUUCUUUGGCCAGUCCUACAUUCUAUUAAUUAUUGCAGAUUUAUGGAAGGUCUUCAUAUCUGGUUGUACAAGGUCUCCAGUGUUCUUUUCCUUUUCAAGAUAAUUUUAGAUAUUCUUUGUCCUUUGCAUUGCCAAAUAAAAUUUAAAAUAAGCUCAUUAAGUUUUAACAAAAACAAAACAAAACAAAAUUAAGCUUUGAAUAUUUCAUUUGGAUUUACUGAAUCUACUAAUCAAUAGGGGGAAUUUACUUCUUAUAAAGUUAAAAUUUUAAACCCAUGAGCAUUUUGAUAUGUUGAAUUUCUUCAUAAUUGAGUUCACAACCCUUUUUUUGAGGUCCUCUUCAAUUUUUUCUUAAUCAUGUUUUGUAAUUUUCAAUGGACAGUCAUGUCCAUCUUAUUAGGUACAGUUUUAUGUAUUUAAUGUUUUCU